rnacentral:rRNA from 1 species
CCCGAAGUAUCCUGAAUCUUUCGCAUUGUUAAUCAUACAAAUGCAUAUAAUAAACAUAAAAAUCAUUGAUAAUUAUGCCAUUAUAUAAUUCCGAAAAAUUAACGCACUGUAUUUUUAUUAAUCUAUCAACACUUUAUCAAAUUAAUGACAUUUAUUCUGUGUUAAAAUGCAAGCAUAAUAAUUUGAAUAAACUAUAAGCCAUAUUUUAUGAUAAAUUUUUAUAUGUUAAUAGAUUACAAUGUCCUUAUAUGGAAAAAAUGCACAUUAUUUGUAUAAAUAUUGUUAAAAUAUUAUAACUCUAAUGAUGAAUUUUCCAUAAUGGAUAUUCAGGUUCAUCGGGC